UUAAGUUAAUAAGGGCGCACGGUGGAUGCCUUGGCACUAGAAGCCGAUGAAGGACGUGACUAACGACGAAAUGCUUUGGGGAGCUGUAAGUGAGCAAUGAUCCAGAGAUGUCCGAAUGGGGGAACCCGGCAGGUAAUGCCUGUCACUCAUUACUGUUAAGGUAAUGUAGAGGAAGACGCAGUGAACUGAAACAUCUAAGUAGCUGCAGGAAGAGAAAGCAAAAGCGAUUGCCUUAGUAGCGGCGAGCGAAACGGCAGGAGGGCAAACCGAAGAGUUUACUCUUCGGGGUUGUAGGACUGCAAUGUGGACUCAAAGACUAUAGAAGAAUGGUUUGGGAAAAUCAGCCAACGAGAGAAAUAGCAGCGUAUUUAAAAUAGUCUUUAUACCUAGCAGUAUCCUGAGUACGGCGAGACACGAGAAAUCUCGUCGGAAUCUGGGAGGACCAUCUCCCAACCCUAAAUACUCUCUAGUGACCGAUAGUGAACCAGUACCGUGAGGGAAAGGUGAAAAGCACCCCGGGAGGGGAGUGAAAUAGAACCUGAAACCGUGUGCCUACAACAAGUUCGAGCCCGUUAAUGGGUGAGAGCGUGCCUUUUGUAGAAUGAACCGGCGAGUUACGAUAUGAUGCGAGGUUAAGUUGAAGAGACGGAGCCGUAGGGAAACCGAGUCUUAAUAGGGCGCAUUAGUAUCAUGUCGUAGACCCGAAACCAUGUGACCUACCCAUGAGCAGGUUGAAGGUGAGGUAAAACUCACUGGAGGACCGAACCAGGGCACGUUGAAAAGUGCUUGGAUGACUUGUGGGUAGCGGAGAAAUUCCAAACGAACUUGGAGAUAGCUGGUUCUCUCCGAAAUAGCUUUAGGGCUAGCGUCGAUGUUAAGUCUCUUGGAGGUAGAGCACUGUUUGGGUGAGGGGUCCAUCCCGGAUUACCAAUCUCAGAUAAACUCCGAAUGCCAAUGAAUUAUGGUCGGCAGUCAGACUGCGAGUGCUAAGAUCCGUAGUCGAAAGGGAAACAGCCCAGACCACCAGCUAAGGUCCCAAAAUAUAUGUUAAGUGGAAAAGGAUGUGGGGUUGCACAGACAACUAGGAUGUUAGCUUGGAAGCAGCUAUUCAUUCAAAGAGUGCGUAAUAGCUCACUAGUCGAGUGACCCUGCGCCGAAAAUGUACCGGGGCUAAAACAUAUUACCGAAGCUGUGGAUACCUUUAUAGGUAUGGUAGGAGAGCGUUCUAUGUGCGAAGAAGGUGUACCGUGAGGAGUGCUGGAGCGCAUAGAAGUGAGAAUGCCGGUAUGAGUAGCGAAAGACAGGUGAGAAUCCUGUCCACCGUAAGACUAAGGUUUCCAGGGGAAGGCUCGUCCGCCCUGGGUUAGUCGGGACCUAAGGAGAGACCGAAAGGUGUAUCCGAUGGACAACAGGUUGAUAUUCCUGUACUAGAGUAUAUAGUGAUGGAGGGACGCAGUAGGCUAACUAAACCAGACGAUUGGAAGUGUCUGGCCAAGCAGUGAGGUGUGAUAUGAGUCAAAUGCUUAUAUCUAUAACAUUGAGCUGUGAUGGGGAGCGAAGUUUAGUAGCGAAGUUAGUGAUGUCACACUGCCGAGAAAAGCUUCUAGCGUUAAUUAUACUCUACCCGUACCGCAAACCGACACAGGUAGUCGAGGCGAGUAGCCUCAGGUGAGCGAGAGAACUCUCGUUAAGGAACUCGGCAAAAUGGCCCCGUAACUUCGGGAGAAGGGGCGCUGACUUAUGGUCAGCCGCAGUGAAUAGGCCCAGGCAACUGUUUAUCAAAAACACAGCUCUCUGCUAAAUCGAAAGAUGAUGUAUAGGGGGUGACGCCUGCCCGGUGCUGGAAGGUUAAGAGGAGUGCUUAGCAAUAGCGAAGGUAUGAAUUGAAGCCCCAGUAAACGGCGGCCGUAACUAUAACGGUCCUAAGGUAGCGAAAUUCCUUGUCGGGUAAGUUCC
rnacentral:rRNA from 1 species